rnacentral:ribozyme from 1 species
ACCCGUUCCGGCGGGUAUAAACAGGGCAUUAGGCCGGAAGCGUGGGCGAGAUUUCGCCCAGUUGUC